UGCUCUAUGUGUGUGUGUGUGUGUGUGUGUUGUAUGUGUGUCUCUACUGUACUUUUAUAUCGCAUUUCGCCGUUGUUGUUAUCGCAAUUUUUGUACCUUACCC